rnacentral:lncRNA from 10 species
UAAACAUUUUCUGAGUGCCUGCUACAUGCCAAACACUUUGCUAGGGGUGAUGACACAAAUGUAAACAAGACAGAAACGGUCCCUGCCCUCGAGAACAAAUAUUCUAGCAGAGGAGAUGGACCAAUCAGCAGCAACUGUGAUACCACAUGAUAAAAGCUACAGGGGAAGGCAGGAGCUAUGGGAGCAAGGAGAGGGAGCUCUCACCCAGAGCGUCAGUGAGUUGGUGCUCUCUCUCCAGAAGAUGAUGCUUCCAGGACAGCUUGAAAUGACAUUCCAGGCAAUGCCUGCCUCAGGCUGGAUAAAGGUUGGACUGGAUAAGGUCUGGUGAAGUCCACUGGCCACACUAGCAGAGAUGGCAAUUCAGCUGGUACCUUGCUGGGUGGCCUGGGCUUUUUACCCUGCAGGCAGCAUUGUGGUGACGUAGACCAGCCUGUUACAACAGGAGAAUUCUAGAAGGAAGCUGUGGGAGCCAUUUCAACCCCAACAGACACAGCCUGUGCUUCUUGAGCUAGGGACCAUUCCUCCAGGGCUCGGUAUUCUUCCUUCGGGAAGGUGGGUCUAGUUGGUACGGGAAUUAGUGAUCCUUCUCUGGAGAGAAGGGAUACUCAUGGUGGAGGCGUUCCAGGAAAGACUUGUUUUUGCCUGGCUCUCAGGUUGCUUCUGAUCCCCUCAAGCCAUCUGAAAACAAAGCCGGUCUUUCAACAAUUUGUCUUUCAAAUAUGUGUCUCUUAAGAUGUGGUCCAGAUAACCUGCUCAGUAUCCCUGGAGGGAUUGUAGACCUGUAUGCUCCUGGGUCUGACCCAGACGGGGAGGCUUAGAAUUCCUGUGUUUGUAUUGAGUGGUCCAAGUGAUGCGUUUGCACAUUUAAGUCCCAUGCACCAGGAAGGAGAGCUGGAGGCCCAGAGAGGGGAAGCUGUGCAGGAGAGAAUCAGAAUGAGCUGGGCCCUGGAUUGAGUACCCUGACACUCAGCACUGGACUCACUACAAGAGGGAGAAGCCAGGGGGAAAGAAGGCUACCCUUGUACUCCUUACUGUACUUCCCCAGGAGCCAGAAGAAUGUAGGGACCACAUCUUGGACCCGGAGGUCUGAGCCCAGCAGUGGUGGAGAGUCCCCAGCUGGGAGACCCUCAGUUGGAUGGGAAACUAGGGAUGGCAGGAGAGUCUGGGGGACUCUCUGGCAGGAGAACCAGGAGGUAAGAGUCUCUGGAGACAGUUGCUCUAGGGCCACCUCGAUGGGGUCUCUGUCUGGGCCCCUCCCCACAGUUUGAGUCAGAGAUGGCUCUCAGCAUGGCAGGAGGCUUGCUCCUCUCCCCGUGGGUGGACUGCAGUUCCCACAACCCUGUCAGGCAGCUGCAGAGCUCCAGGUUUCUCUGCCCACAAGGGCAGGGGCUGCCCCUCGCCCAGGAUGACUCUGCCUUCCAGAGCCUUGGCCUCCCUGGGGGUGGGAGUGUGGGGGAUGCUAAGGUUAAAUCAGGUCACAGUAAGUUGUGGGGGCAGCAGGUGGAGCAGCAGAGUGGCACUGGGAGCUUUCUCUUGGGUGUGCGGUGUGGCCUUGGUUCUGCAGCCAUCAGGUGGGGGCUUGGGACUGACUUCUCCUUCUGAAGGAUGCUGGGAAGGUGAGCUGGCUUUGGCAGUGCUUAGAGCUCCGGGGGGUUCCCCCUCCUAGAACAUGCAAGCUCUCACACCGGUGCGUCAUCAUCACACCCAUCAUCAAGCCCACAGUGGUAUACUGAACACCUGCCCCACAAAGACGGUGGAAUGCUCUCAGAGGAGCCCCAUGAACCACCGAUGGUUACAACUAUCCAAUGCCUGAUGGCAGACAGCCAGGCCAACCUCGGCUUCCACUCUCUCUUCCUCACCCUACAAUCAGCCAAAGUGACCUGAGUCGUGUAGUGCGAAGUUGCUUUCUGCUUUCUCUUGUUUGUGCUUUUGCUGUUUCUUCUGCCCCAUACUUUGUUAACUCCAUGAGUUAAAUGCUACCCAUUUUCCCAGACAAGUGCUGCUUCUGCAAGGAAACCCUUCCUGAUCCCCCACCUGUCUGAAAAGUACCUCUCCAGCUUGCUUCUUCAGGGUGCUGAGCGUUCCUUCCCAGCCUGUCAUCACCUUCCUCCAUACGCUAUGGUGUGUUCCUGUCUUCUCUAGUCUUGUCCUCUUUUUUCUGUUAGAUUGUAGCUCCUUGCUGACAGGAACCACGCCUGCUCCAGCUUCAUACCUCCCACUGCUACAGCACAGAACCUGCUUCUCAGACUUACAGCAAAUGUUUGUUUGCUGAAUGAAUUAAUUAAAGAUAAAGCAUUCU